rnacentral:rRNA from 1 species
AGGACGAACGCUGGCGGCGUGCUUAACACAUGCAAGUCGAGCGGAAAGGCCCUUCGGGGUACUCGAGCGGCGAACGGGUGAGUAACACGUGAGCAACCUGCCCUUAGCUUCGGGAUAGCUCCGGGAAACCGGAAUUAAUACCGGAUAUGACUAUGGCCGACAUCAGCCAUGGUGGAAAGUUUUUCGGCUAGGGAUGGACUCGCGGCCUAUCAGCUAGUUGGUGAGGUAACGGCUCACCAAGGCGACGACGGGUAGCCGGCCUGAGAGGGCGACCGGCCACACUGGGACUGAGACACGGCCCAGACUCCUACGGGAGGCAGCAGUGGGGAAUAUUGCGCAAUGGGCGAAAGCCUGACGCAGCGACGCCGCGUGGGGAUGAAUGCCUUCGGGUUGUAAACCCUUUCAGCAGGGACGAAGCGAAAGUGACGGUACCUGCAGAAGAAGCGCCGGCUAACUACGUGCCAGCAGCC